GCCCACCUACCUCAGUCAGUAGAGCAUGAGACUCUUAAUCUCAGGGUUGUGGGUUCAAGCCCCAGGUUGGGCA
rnacentral:tRNA from 1 species